UGGGGAAUAUUGGACAAUGGGCGCAAGCCUGAUCCAGCAAUGCCGCGUGGGUGAAGAAGGCCUUCGGGUUGUAAAGCCCUUUUGUACGGGAAGAAAUCCUGUCGGUUAAUACCCGGCGGGGAUGACGGUACCGUAAGAAUAAGCACCGGCUAACUCUGUGCCAGCAGCCGCGGUAAUACAGAGGGUGCAAGCGUUGUCCGGAAUUACUGGGCGUAAAGGGCGCGUAGGCGGUCCAAUAAGUAGGGGGUGAAAUCUCACGGCUCAACCGGGAGGCUGCCUUCUAGACUGUUGGACUUGAGCACGGUAGAGGCAGAUGGAAUUCCCGGUGUAGCGGUGGAAUGCGUAGAGAUCGGGAAGAACACCAGUGGCGAAGGCGAUCUGCUGGGCCGUUGCUGACGCUGAGGCGCGACAGCGUGGGGAGCAAA
rnacentral:rRNA from 1 species